rnacentral:rRNA from 1 species
AUGUUAUCAUAAUAACUAAGACCAAAGUGCAACUAAGCUGUCAUAAGCCAAAGAUGUACCUAAGACCCUCCUUACAAACGAUCUUAGUACUUUAGAUUAAUUUAAUUCCACGAAAGCUAAGACACAAACUGGGAUUAGAUACCCCACUAUGCUUAGCCCUAAAUCUUGAUGUUAUCUCAUACUAAAACAUCCGCCCGAGAACUACGAGCACAAACGCUUAAAACUCUAAGGACUUGGCGGUGCCUAAACCCACCUAGAGGAGCCUGUUCUAUAAUCGAUAACCCACGUUACACCCGACCGCCUCUUGCCAAAGCAGCCUACAUACCGCCGUCGCCAGCUCACCUUCUCUGAGAGUUCAAUAGUGAGCACAAUAGCCAAACCCGCUAAUAAGACAGGUCGAGGUAUAGCCACGGGGCGGAAGAAAUGGCUACAUUUUCUAAAAUAGAAAACCUACGGAAGGAGGCGUGAAACCGCCUCCCGAAGGCGGAUUUAGCAGUAAAGAGGGACAAUACAAGCCCUCUUUAAACUGGCCCUGGGCACGUACAUACCGCCCG